rnacentral:rRNA from 1 species
CGAAAUUCCUUGUCGGGUAAGUUCCGACCCGCACGAAUGGCGUAACGACUUGGGCGCUGUCUCAACAAGGGACUCGGUGAAAUUGAAGUAUGGGUGAAGAUGCCCAUUACCCGCGACUGGACGGAAAGACCCCGUAGAGCUUUACUGUAGCCUGAUAUUGGAUUUCGGUAACGGAUGCACAGGAUAGGUGGGAGGCAAGGAAGGCAGGACUCCGGUCUUGGUGGAGCCACCGUUGGGAUACCACUCUUCUGUUGCUGGAAUUCUAACAUGGCGCCGUGAAACCGGUGAAUGGACAGUGUCAGGUGGGCAGUUUGACUGGGGCGGUCGCCUCCGAAAGAGUAACGGAGGCGCCCAAAGGUUCCCUCAGCGCGGCCGGAAAUCGCGCGAAGAGUGUAAAGGCAGAAGGGAGCUUGACUGCGAGUCAAACACGACGAGCAGGUACGAAAGUAGGGCUUAGUGAUCCGGUGGUACCGAGUGGAAGGGCCAUCGCUCAACGGAUAAAAGCUACCCUGGGGAUAACAGGCUAAUCUCUCCCAAGAGUCCAUAUCGACGGGGAGGUUUGGCACCUCGAUGUCGGCUCAUCACAUCCUGGGGCUGAAGUCGGUCCCAAGGGUUGGGCUGUUCGCCCAUUAAAGUGGUACGUGAGCUGGGUUCAGAACGUCGUGAGACAGUUCGGUCCCUAUCCAUCGCGGGCGCAAGAGAUUUGAAGGGGGCUGCUCCUAGUACGAGAGGACCGGAGUGGACGAACCGCUGGUGUACCAAUUAUCCCGCCAGGGGUACAGUUGGGUAGCUACGUUCGGAAAGGAUAAACGCUGAAAGCAUCUAAGCGUGAAACCAGCCUUAAGAUGAGAUCUCUCAUAGAGCAAUCUAGUAAGACACCUUAAAGAAGAUGAGGUUGAUAGGUCGGGAGUGUAAGUACAGCAAUGUAUUGAGCGGACCGAUACUAAUAUGUCGAGGGCUUGACUUA